AUUGUUUAAAAAUUAUUUAUUUUUUUAGUGUAUUAUGCAUAAAUAAUGGCAGAUUAAAAUACAUAUAUGUAACCCAGCAAAUUUAGAUCCUUAAGAAUAUUAUGCAGGCAAGUGACUGUAAAGAGUGGGUUGUAGAUUCAGACAUGAGAUGAUACAGCUACAUAAACAUUCAAUGUAAGUUUUAACUUGUAGCAUCAAGUAAGGCCCAGGGAAGAUAAGAAAGUAAAGAAUUAGAGAGAAAUGAAUUUAAUCAUGUCAUAACAUCAGAAGGGUCAAAGGUCCCACUUCCUAUUUAUUAAGAACAAUGGACUUAGUAAACAAUGACUUUCUUUCAUUUCUUGUACUACCUCAAAGAAGUCAUUCAAAACUCUUUUGACUCCUAAUGCCAUCUCAUCAGUAACUCUAAACAACAUAAAUCUUUGACACAUUUGUCUUUUCAUUAAUUUAAAAAAAAUGAAACACAUUUUUUUAGGGCAUCAAUUUAUAUCUGCAAUCAACCUUGCAUAGCAAGUCAACUACCAACAUCAAAUACAAUGUUUAUAUUUAUAACUGCAAGAAGUCAGAUUUAAAAAAAAAAAAAAAAAAAAAAA